AGUGAACGCUGGCGGUAGGCCUAACACAUGCAAGUCGAACGGCAGCACAGUAAGAGCUUGCUCUUACGGGUGGCGAGUGGCGGACGGGUGGGGAAUACAUCGGAAUCUACUUUUUCGUGGGGGAUAACGUAGGGAAACUUACGCUAAUACUGCAUACGACCUACGGGUGAAAGCAGGGGAUCUUCGGACCUUGCGCGAUUGAAUGAGCCGAUGUCGGAUUAGCUAGUUGGCGGGGUAAAGGCCCACCAAGGCGACGAUCCGUAGCUGGUCUGAGAGGAUGAUCAGCCACACUGGAACUGAGACACGGUCCAGACUCCUACGGGAGGCAGCAGUGGGGAAUAUUGGACAAUGGGCGCAAGCCUGAUCCAGCCAUACCGCGUGGGUGAAGAAGGCCUUCGGGUUGUAAAGCCCUUUUGUUGGGAAAGAAAAGCAGCAGGUUAAUACCCCGCUGUUCUGACGGUACCCAAAGAAUAAGCACCGGCUAACUUCGUG
rnacentral:rRNA from 1 species